AGGUUCCAGUAUUACCACAAGCAGCGUAGGCUGCAGAUGCUGCUCAGAUCUGUGGCUGUGGCGUAGGCUGACAGCUGCUGCUCCAAAGUGGCUGCAAAUAAAAAAAAAAAAAAAAAAAAAAAAGAAAAGACAAAGGAAGAAAAAAAGAGAGAGGCUGAAGUGCAUCAUAUUUAAAUCUUUAAAUAAAAACAGUAGUGUGGCUGCAGAGUGUGCAUAGUCUGGAGGAAAGGACACAGGUGGUGUGAUAAAGCGGACGUGGGUCCCAUUUCGGCUCAAAGACACCCUCGUCUCUUGUGAGGUUCUGCUCUCUCCCUCUCUCGGCACGUGUAGGCUGGGCUUUCUCUGCCCACUGUCCCUUAGGCGGCUGUGCGGCUGUGCCAAACGGACUGUGAGUCCGGCAGACAUCCGUCAUUUCCAGGUGGCGGCACAAAGAGUCGGGGCGCCGCAGACCACGCCCCUUCUCUGUUGUGAAGCCCCCAAAUGCUCCCCUGGGGGACUGCCCUCUCAGUCGAGGGUCAUCCCUGAUGACACUGACUCAGCGCAGAGCGCCCAGCCCACCAGUGGUGGCCACGUAGGAUGAGGGAAAAUGAAUAGGUGGUGUCACAAGUCACUGAGAUGGGGAGAGUUCCCGCUGUGGCUCGGUGGGUUAAGGAUCCAACAUUGUGUCUGUGAGGACGCAGAUCCACCCCUGGCCUUGCUCCGUGAAUUAAGGAUCCAGUGUUGCUACAAGCUGCGGCGUGGGUUGCAGAUAUGGCUUGGAUCCAGUGUUGCCAUGGCUGUGGCGUAGGCCAGCAGCUGCAGCUCCAAUUCGACCCCUGGGUUGGGAACUUCCAUAUGCCGAGGGUACAGCUGUAAAAAGAAAAAAAAAGAAAAAAGUCCCUGAGAUCGGGGAUUGUUUUUCUGCAGCUUGAGCAAGCUUAUCCUGACUGCUACACAGGGGCAGUGGACUCUGGCAAGCCCAUUACCUCCCAUGGUACUUGAAGUCCAUAGUUGAAAGAUAGGAAUAACAUAACCAGUCUUCUUGUAUACAAUUUCAAAAUUUUGCUGAAGUUUAAGACUCACAAGAAGUUGCAAAAAUAGCACAGUGUAGGCUGAGACUUCAGUGAAGAGCGUUAAACAUAUUUUGUGGAAAAUCCUGGUUUGGCUCACCUGAGGCAUAACUCUUCCUGGUAGUCAGUGGAUGCUCUUAAAGUCAAAACAGUUGAAGCUGGUUCUCAAAAAGUUCCCAUGGUUUACUGGGGAGACCAGCGCCUCGCUCCUAGAGCAAACAGCCAGUCUGCUGCUUGGCCGUCGCCAUCCACAUCCGGCCGUGAAGGGCAGCCUCUUCCUAACGAUGUGUCUGCUCUUUAUUAGCUGCAAGUUGACAUUGCAGGUUUCUUCUUUCCUUAGGGAACCAGUCCAAAGGGUUAUGCAAGUUUUCUCUCUUACACACAUUCAAAAAACAUGUUAAAACAAUACAGAAUGUCUCCUGAAACCACAUGAGAGCUGAAAAAGCAGACAGGAGCUCUUCUUUCCACUUAGAACAUGUCCUCCCUGGGCCAAGGUCUUUGGCUAUCGACAUCCUUCUAGAAAGUUCUUUCCUGUUUCAGGGGCGGCCGGAUGGCAAGACAUCCUACGCCACAUUUCAGCCAGAUGGGAUUUGGGAAUGCUCCCCCUUUUAAGGGGAGCCGUUGAGAUGAGGACAGUUCCACAGGGUCCCAGUGAGCUCAAGGACCGAUGCAGUGACUCAUAGUGUCAUUGGUACCAUGUCCAAGAAGGCUGUCCUUGUCAGCACACAUUUGUUAAGCAUCCCUCCAUCUCUGCGUCCUCUGACUUUACAGUGAAAGAUGGGGACGGUUUUCUUUCCAAGUUUCCCUCUAAGGCAGAAACUCCGUGUUUGUGGAUCUUCUGACAUUUGGAAAAUCCUCCCUGUUUCCUCUCACCAAACCAGGUCUCUGUGGACAAAGCCUGGUGGGGAAUUCCUCGCUAAAGGGGCCCAGAAGGAAGCCUCUGCCUCCCUCAGGAGUUCGAUUAUUUUAUCAGUCUUAUCACAGCAGCAUUUAAAUCAUUUAUGGAUUAAAGAUUUUUGUUAUUCAAAGAUAAGGCUAGCCCUUCAAACAAGGAAGAGUGGGAUGGGAGACUAAUAUCAUUUUUUUACUAGAAGAUGUUUGUUCAAAGGGACAACUGAAGUCUCUUAGCAAAUAUGGGUUUACUUUUUCGCUCAUUUCAGUGCCUGCGAUGGAUGGAUUUACUUUUUCCCAGGUUUGUGCUGUACCUUGGCUCCCAUGGUACAGAGACCAUAGCCCGUUUUUUGGACUAAUUCCCAUGUAUUGUAUAAUUUUUUUCUGGCUAUGCUUUUUUUUAAUGCCAUGUCUCGAUUCAGAGCGUGGUCUCUGAUGCUGCCAAUGGUUGCCUGCUCUGCUCUUGGAUUCAUUCCAAGUUUCUGAGAGCAGGGAUUUCUGAGCCACCCAGCCUGAGGACUCCUGCCCAGGAGAAUGAGGACCAAGCCCACGGGGAAGGGAGACAAAUCGUCUGUGUGAACCCAGUCUUGUAACUGACGGGCCGCAGUCAAUUCUGAUGACCUUGGGCCCGAGAGGAGGUGAGCCCACGGGCUGUUGGUUGCCAUGGAGAAUCUUGGACUUGUACACGCAGAUGCACUCCACCUCCUGUCUCCUGGCGGGUUGGCGGCCCCAUGCACGGAAUGGCGUUUUCUUCCUGUCUUGUGUCACUUCGGGUUGAUAGAGAAAAACAGCAUGGACCGAGGGCUUAGCAACACACCUUUACUUCUUGCAGUUCUGGAGGCUGGACGUCUAAGAUCAAGGGGUCGGAAGAGCUGAUGUCUGGUAAAGAUCUGCCUCCUGGUUUGCAGACGACCACCUUCUUGCUGUGUCCUCACAUGAUGGAGAGAGAGCUCUGGUCGCGUCAUCUCCUUCCAAGGGCACCACUCCCAUCAUGAAGGUCCACCCUCAUGACCUCAUCUAAACCUGAUUCUCUCCCCAAAGCCCA
rnacentral:lncRNA from 1 species